AACGCACAUUGCGCCCUUUGGUAUUCCAAAGGGCAUGCCUGUUCGAGCGUCAUUUGUACCCUCAAGCUUUGCUUGGUGUUGGGCGUUUUUGUCUUUGGUCGCCCAAAGACUCGCCUUAAAGUGAUUGGCAGCCGGCCUUUCUGGUUUCGCAGCGCAGCACAUUUUUGCGCUUGCCAUCAGCAAGACGGCAAUCCAUCAAGCCUCCUUCUCACGUUUGACCUCGGAUCAGGUAGGGAUACCCGCUGAACUUAA
rnacentral:misc_RNA from 1 species